CCUGGUGGUUAUAGCAAGAGUGAACCACCCGAUCCCAUCCCGAACUCGGCCGUGAAACCUUUUAGCGCUGAUGGUACUGCAUCUUAAGGUGUGGGAGAGUAAGUCGCUGCCAGGU
rnacentral:rRNA from 1 species